CAGCAGCCACGGUAAUACGAAGGGUGCAAGCGUUAAUCGGAAUUACUGGGCGUAAAGCGUGCGUAGGCGGUUUGUUAAGUCUGCUGUGAAAUCCCCGGGCUCAACCUGGGAAUGGCAGUGGAUACUGGCAAGCUAGAGUGUGUCAGAGGAUGGUGGAAUUCCCGGUGUAGCGGUGAAAUGCGUAGAGAUCGGGAGGAACAUCAGUGGCGAAGGCGGCCAUCUGGGACAACACUGACGCUGAGGCACGACAGCGUGGGGAGCAAACAGGAUUAGAUACCCCCGUAGUCCCUGUCUCUUAUAC
rnacentral:rRNA from 1 species